UACGUAGGUGGCAAGCGUUGUCCGGAAUUAUUGGGCGUAAAGCGCGCGCAGGCGGUUUCUUAAGUCUGAUGUGAAAGCCCCCGGCUCAACCGGGGAGGGUCAUUGGAAACUGGGAAACUUGAGUGCAGAAGAGGAAAGUGGAAUUCCAAGUGUAGCGGUGAAAUGCGUAGAGAUUUGGAGGAACACCAGUGGCGAAGGCGACUUUCUGGGCAGUAACUGACGCUGAGGAGCGAAAGCGUGGGGAGCGAACAGG
rnacentral:rRNA from 1 species